rnacentral:rRNA from 1 species
CGGCGGCAUGCUUUACACAUGCAAGUCGAACGGCAGCGCGGGCUUCGGCCUGGCGGCGAGUGGCGAACGGGUGAGUAAUACAUCGGAACGUGCCCAGUAGUGGGGGAUAGCUCGGCGAAAGCCGGAUUAAUAUCGCAUACGACCUGAGGGUGAAAGCGGGGGAUCUUCGGACCUCGCGCUAUUGGAGCGGCCGAUGGCAGAUUAGCUAGUUGGUGGGGUAAAGGCCUACCAAGGCGACGAUCUGUAGCUGGUCUGAGAGGACGACCAGCCACACUGGGACUGAGACACGGCCCAG